GAUGAACGCUGGCGGCGUGCCUAAUACAUGCAAGUCGAGCGAACGGACGAGAAGCUUGCUUCUCUGAUGUUAGCGGCGGACGGGUGAGUAACACGUGGAUAACCUACCUAUAAGACUGGGAUAACUUCGGGAAACCGGAGCUAAUACCGGAUAAUAUUUUGAACCGCAUGGUUCAAAAGUGAAAGACGGUCUUGCUGUCACUUAUAGAUGGAUCCGCGCUGCAUUAGCUAGUUGGUAAGGUAACGGCUUACCAAGGCAACGAUGCAUAGCCGACCUGAGAGGGUGAGCGGCCACACUGGAACUGAGACACGGUCCAGACUCCUACGGGAGGCAGCAGUAGGGAAUCUUCCGCAAUGGGCGAAAGCCUGACGGAGCAACGCCGCGUGAGUGAUGAAGGUCUUCGGAUCGUAAAACUCUGUUACUAGGGAAGAACAUAUGUGUAAGUAACUGUGCACAUCUUGACGGUACCUAAUCAGAAAGCCACGGCUAACUACGUG
rnacentral:rRNA from 1 species